rnacentral:rRNA from 1 species
AAGCAUGGGGGAGCAAAACAGGAUUAGAUACCCUGGGUAGUCCAUGCCGUAAACGAUGUCUACUAGCCGUUGGGGGCCUUUGAGGCUUUAGUGGCGCAGCUAACGCGAUAAGUAGACCGCCUGGGGAGUACGGUCGCAAGACUAAAACUCAAAUGAAUUGACGGGGGCCCGCACAAGCGGUGGAGCAUGUGGUUUAAUUCGAUGCAACGCGAAGAACCUUACCCGGCCUUGACAUACUAAGAACUUUCCAGAGAUGGAUUGGUGCCUUCGGGAACUUAGAUACAGGUGCUGCAUGGCUGUCGUCAGCUCGUGUCGUGAGAUGUUGGGUUAAGUCCCGCAACGAGCGCAACCCUUUUCCUUAUUUGCCAGCGGGUAAUGCCGGGAACUUUAAGGAUACUGCCAGUGACAAACUGGAGGAAGGCGGGGACGACGUCAAGUCAUCAUGGCCCUUACGGCCAGGGCUACACACGUGCUACAAUGGUCGGUACAAAGGGUUGCUACCUCGCGAGAGGAUGCUAAUCUCAAAAAGCCGAUCGUAGUCCGGAUCGCAGUCUGCAACUCGACUGCGUGAAGUCGGAAUCGCUAGUAAUCGCGGAUCAGAAUGCCGCGGUGAAUACGUUCCCGGGCCUUGUACACACCG